rnacentral:tRNA from 1 species
ACCAGUGUGGCAUAGUGGUUUUGAGUGUUUGACUACAACUCUGGAGACAAGGGUUUGAUUCCCUGCUUGGCCA